AUUGAACGCUGGCGGCAUGCCUUACACAUGCAAGUCGAACGGCAGCACGGGGCAACCUGGUGGCGAGUGGCGAACGGGUGAGUAAUGCAUCGGAACGUACCUUUCAGUGGGGGAUAACGUAGCGAAAGUUACGCUAAUACCGCAUAUUCUGUGAGCAGGAAAGCAGGGGAUCGCAAGACCUUGCGCUGACUGAGCGGCCGAUGUCAGAUUAGCUAGUUGGUGAGGUAAAGGCUCACCAAGGCGACGAUCUGUAGCGGGCCUGAGAGGAUGAUCCGCCACACUGGAACUGAGACACGGUCCAGACUCCUACGGGAGGCAGCAGUGGGGAAUUUUGGACAAUGGGGGCAACCCUGAUCCAGCCAUGCCGCGUGAGUGAAGAAGGCCUUCGGGUUGUAAAGCUCUUUCGGCCGGGAAGAAAUCGCACGGGCUAAUACCCUGUGUGGAUGACGGUACCGGAAUAAGAAGCACCGGCUAACUACGUGCCAGCAGCCGCGGUAAUAC
rnacentral:rRNA from 1 species